AGAAUGAAUUUUAAUUUUUCAAUAACAGGAUAUCUUGGCUGUUAUGUAGACUCUAACUCCAGAAUUCUAAGUGAAAAAAAUACAAGCGACAACAAGAUGACGACGGAACUUUGUCUUGCAUUCUGCAAAGGUCAUGGACUAAAAUAUGCUCUAACUCAGUAUUCUUCGCAGUGUUUCUGUGGAAACAGUUUAGGAAAUGUACAGAAAGCACCCGACAGCGAAUGUAGCUAUGAUUGUAAAGGUGCUACAAGUGAGAAAUGUGGAGGGUUUUGGAGAGGGUCAUUAUACCUUGUUGUUUAAAUGUGCACCCAUACAAGAAGGAAAAUGCGCGGUUGGAUACUACUAGUAUACCUAUGGACUGAAUUCUAGCUUUAAAUGUUUUCAUUUAUAUUACUUUAUGUAAAAAACAUAUUAUUGUUCGUAA